UACGGAGGGUGCAAGCGUUAUCCGGAUUUAUUGGGUUUAAAGGGUGCGCAGGCGGGACCUUAAGUCAGUGGUGAAAUCCCUUCGCUUAACGAAGGAACUGCCAUUGAUACUGAGGUUCUUGAAUCUAGUUGACGUUAGUGGAAUGUGUCAUGUAGCGGUGAAAUGCUUAGAUAUGACACAGAACACCGAUCGCGAAGGCAGCCUAACGAAGCUAGUAUUGACGCUCAGGCACGACAGCAUGGGAGCAAACAGG
rnacentral:rRNA from 1 species